UGUUCACAUAAAAACAGGCACUGGAUCAGCACAAACUACCGUCACUUAGUUAUAUGUAUACUUUUCUCAGAUUUAGGCCACAAAAGAGGGGCGCGAAGGGCUAUAGAUUCGCGUAUUUACAUACUUAGUAUAUUCCAGAAAAGGAUAGCUCCCUAUUACCUAUUGUCUUUCUAUGACUUUCUGACCAUUCUUUGUCGUAACAUUAAACCUCUAUCAAACCUAUCUAUCAAUAAUAAUUGUUUCACAUAAUAAAUGAUGAUUAGAAAUCAGAUAUUCAUUCAUAAUAUUUACCUAAAUGUUUACGUAUUAGGUAAGUAUAAAAGCCAAAAUAUCUAAGUUAUUACUUGUAAGUUAAUCAAUUAUGUUGUAGGUAUCUGAAAAUUGUUGACAAAGGACGAACUAUGGAGGAGAAAGUAUUGGAUAGGUAAUAAACAUUACGUGAAACUGUGGAACAUAAUAUGUUAUGUUUUGAAUAUCUAUUAGUAUGAAAUCUAAGUAUACCUACCUAUUAUACUAUAAUUGAUAUCUAUUUAAUCUAUUUGGGAGUUGUCUCAGACAAACAGGUACACGAUUUUUUUUUGGAGGCGAAUUCGUAAAACUUGAAAUAACAGAUUAUUAAAAAGAAUUUCAAUAUCAAGAUGAUUAAAAAGAGGGAAGGAAGAAACGUACCGAGAUUUUAUGGGACGAUAUAAAUUUAGGGGAUAUUUUUUAAGCAGAUUGAGAACUCUUGCUAAUUUAAUAAAAUGGAAAUUUUUAAAUAUUAACUAUUUAAAUAUAUAAUUUACAAUAUACUUACACGGUUUUGUCUUUUGAUAAACAACUGUUAGCGUUUCAAGACAUUGUAUAUAAUAUUACUCGUAAGUAGGUAUACCUAUA